rnacentral:lncRNA from 1 species
UCACAUGCUGUAUUAUUUUUUUAAUAAAAAGGUCAAAGACAGUCUUUCCCUCUUUGUAAGUUAGGUUGUGAUGAAGAAGGUUGAUACAAACCUUACAACAAGAUGUUUGGUCAAAAGAUAGAAAUCUUGCGUUCUUGUAAGGUAGGGAGGUUUGACUUCAUCCACUUUUUAUCAUAUUUCUCACAACUUCUUUUAGCAAUCUUCCCCAUCUAAACAACAUAUAUG